ensembl:lncRNA
UUUUGCGAUUGAUAGAUUUUCAUCAGUUUGUGAUAAAAUCAUGAGAUAGCUAGUAAGUUCUAGACCUCAUCUUUUUGUUUUUUUGUUUUUUUGUUUGCUUUGCAGAGGUGAGGCUGUGUGGAGGUGUCCACAGGUGAGUAUCGGUUUGGUGCCUGCUGAGAACAGAGAUAGGCUUUAAAGUGGUGAAAAUGGAUAACAUGUUUUUGUCCCUUGCAGUGGUGGACCCGGGAGCCAGCCUCCUUCCUCGGCUCAGCUGUGCGACUUGGCCAUCUCUAAUUAUGCCUGCUCUCCGGUAAGUCUUCCAUGAACGGUGCACCUGAAUGCCUGUCCUUGCAAAUACUCCCAUUUCUCUGACUGCACAAAUCUGCCCACUUCUUUCAAGGUUGCAUCCUCCCUGUCCUCUGACGCCCUCGUCACACUGCUGACUUGCAAGGUGCCGAGCAGCGUGAACAGCAGCGCAGAGACGUGGAAGCUUUUCUUCCAGAAAGUCGCGGGAGUUCUGGAGGUUGCUCUGUCAGCGUACUCCAACAACGUGAGUGACACCCCUGCUUUCUGGAACAGGAGAUGGAGUGCUGUCUCUGGGCUCUACAUUGAGAUAUGUCCCUUUGCUUUCACAGACCCUCGGUGGCCAUCAGCCUGAGUCCCGUGUUCUCGAUGCCAUUGGAGAGGUGAAAGUCAACAACUUCAGCGCCGCACAACUGGCAGAUGUCAGCUUCAUUACCGACUGGUUCCAGGGAAGGCUGAGACCAUUCUUGCCUGCAGUCUCCAGGGACUUCCUGUCCUGCCUUAGCUCCAAGAACUUCAGUUGCGACACCUACCAAGUUGUGGUGCAGGCUCUAAGUCGUCAAGCGUCCCUCAUGGAGGUGGGGCAACAACGGGUCGUCUUCACUGAAUUUGUCAAUCCCUUCCUCUCGAGAGACGACCUACCAGAUCCUGCCUGUCUUGCCAAUACUACGAGCAGCGCUGACUGGCUGGAGAAGAACUUUGGCAACUUCUCCGUCUACGCUACCUUGGAGGACUUGCAAAGGCUGAAUGAAAAUUUCUCCAGCGUGAGUAGCCUUUGGCUUGCUCCAGUUGCCCAUGUGAAUUGUCAUUAUUUUAGGAAUGUAUUUUUGAUCUGA